rnacentral:rRNA from 1 species
UACGAAGGGGGCUAGCGUUGCUCGGAAUCACUGGGCGUAAAGCGCACGUAGGCGGCUUUUUAAGUCAGGGGUGAAAUCCUGGAGCUCAACUCCAGAACUGCCUUUGAUACUGAGAAGCUUGAGUCCGGGAGAGGUGAGUGGAACUGCGAGUGUAGAGGUGAAAUUCGUAGAUAUUCGCAAGAACACCAGUGGCGAAGGCGGCUCACUGGCCCGGUACUGACGCUGAGGUGCGAAAGCGUGGGGAGCAAACAG